UGGCCAAAUGGGAACUCGGUGAAUUAAAGGGGCUUUCUGCCUCUACUCUGCUGCCCCCUGCUGGAAAGUGGUUGCAAAGACUACACAGGUCUAGGAGGACCACAGAGGACCAUCCAGAGCACAAGGGCCAGACACUGGGUGUCAGACACCCAGCAACCGAGGGAACAGGCGUGUUUUGAGAAUUGCUCUUCUGGUCCAUAGUCCUGGCUGAUCGUCAGUCCUGGGCAAGGUCCCUAAAAUCCAGAAGCAGGCGGCCUCACCACAGACCUACUGAGUGAAAACUGCCAGGUGUGGGCCCUGGAGUCUCACUUUAUGAAAUACAAAAUCAUCUUUGAGACAUGCCGAAUGAAAAACAUCAAGUGCAAAUCAACGUGCAAGGUGCGCAGGAAGAGUGCAGAGACGCACACGUGUGCUUUGUAUGCGGACACCGAGCCUGGAGGCAGACGGAGAGGCUGAUGAUCCGGAAAUGAAGGGAGUUCCUGCUUCUGCUGUGGCUUCACUUGACUGCAUCUGAACCCAGGCAGGGACAGGACAAGACGUUGGCUUCCUCCAGGCUCCUGGGAUCCCGGCGCUGGACCAGCCCCCCGACAGGCCCGCUUCUUCCACCUCCCCCAGAGCGUUCGCUGGCCUCUGCCGGGCUCCCUCUCCUUCCCGGGUCCCCAGGCCCCUCUGAG